UGGUGUACAACGCGGCAUUGAUCGAAAAUUUGUGUCAUGGCUUAAGUUGUGAAUGAAUUGGCAACACUGUGUUCUUAAAUUAUUCGACUAAAUUGUGCUAUUAUAUUUGAUAAUUUGUGAAAUGGAGUUUAAAUUCUUUAUGACAUUCUCUGUCUUUUGAAUUUAACUAUGAUUUUAAAUAUCCACAGUUUAUAUGAUUCAUAGUUUAUGGUCUUAAAUUGCAUUUUCUUAAUGUUGUGCACCACUGAGACA
rnacentral:misc_RNA from 1 species